GAUUAACGCUGGCGGCGUGCCUAACACAUGCAAGUCGAACGAGGUAGCAAUACCUAGUGGCAGACGGGUGAGUAACGCGUGGUCAACCUACCCUAGAGUGGGGGAGUAACUAAGCCGAAAGGUUAGCUAAUACCGCAUGAAACAUGCCGGGGCAUCUCGGAAUGUUGAAAGGAGCAAUCCGCUCAAGGACGGGACCGCGUCCCAUUAGCUAGUUGGUGGGGUAACGGCCUACCAAGGCACCGAUGGGUAGCUGGUUUGAGAGAGCGACCAGCCACACUGGGACUGAGAAACGGCCCAGACUCCUACGGGAGGCAGCAGUGAGGAAUUUUCCGCAAUGGGCGAAAGCCUGACGGAGCGACGCCGCGUGUGGGAAGAAGGCC
rnacentral:rRNA from 1 species